GACGAACGCUGGUGGCGUGCUUAACACAUGCAAGUCGAACGGGAUUUAGUAAACAGAAGCCUCGGUGGAAGAUUACUAAUGAGAGUGGCGAACGGGUGAGUAACGCGUGAGCAACCUGCCUAUGACAGUGGGAUAGCCUCGGGAAACCGGGAUUAAUACCGCAUAAAAUCGUAGAAACACAUGUUUUAACGGUCAAAGAUUUAUCGGUCAUAGAUGGGCUCGCGUCUGAUUAGCUAGUUGGUGAGAUAACAGCCCACCAAGGCGACGAUCAGUAGCCGGUCUGAGAGGAUGAACGGCCACAUUGGAACUGAGACACGGUCCAAACUCCUACGGGAGGCAGCAGUGGGGAAUAUUGCACAAUGGGGGAAACCCUGAUGCAGCGACGCCGCGUGAACGAAGAAGGUAUUCGUAUCGUAAAGUUCUGUCCUAUGGGAAGGUAAUGACAGUACCAUAGAAGAAAGCUCCGGCUAAAUACGU
rnacentral:rRNA from 1 species